rnacentral:lncRNA from 1 species
GUUAAUGUUUCCAACUUUACACAUUCAUACCUUACCUUCUAAAAAGAAAACAUUAGGAAAAAUACAUGUUUUACACUAAUUUUUAGGAAUACCUAACACAGAAAUUAUGAGAUUACUUAACAAAGAAAGCAAAAUAAAAAAGAGACUUCAUUAGAGAUUAGUGUCCCUGAAAGAGAACUACCUCUUUUCUGUGGAUAGAUCUUAAUGACUUAAACACAGAGUAUAAGGAACGAAAUUUAAAAUGUCCUAAGGUGGUCAUGCCUUAAGAGGAGCCUUGGAAAAUUCCAGUGUGUGCCAUAAAAAGGAAUAAUUCUGUUUGAGAUUUUGAAAUAAAAAGAGAAAGAACAAAUAAUUCCAUUCCUCCUUGAGUUAAAUUGAACAGUGAACUAAAGUAGAUAGCACCACGCUUCCAAAAGUUCUGACAACGUGUUCCUGGGGGCGCUGUGUCCUCAGACC